AUUGAACGCUGGCGGCAGGCCUAACACAUGCAAGUCGAACGAGUGGCGGACGGGUGAGUAAUGUAUGGGAAACUGCCCGAUGGAGGGGGCUAACUACUGGAAAAGGUGGCUAAUACCGCAUACCAUCGGAUCGGCCCAAAUGGGAUUAGCUAGUAGGUGGGGUAAAGGCUCACCUAGGCGACGAUCCCUAGCUGGUCUGAGAGGAGGACCAGCCACACUGGAACUGAGACACGGGCCAGACUCCUACGGGAGGCAGCAGUGGGGAAUCUUGGACAAUGGGCGCAAGCCUGAUGCAGCCAUGCCGCGUGUAUGAAGAAGGCCUUCGGGUUGUAAAGUACUUUCAGCGGGGAGGCGGUACCCGCAGAAGAAGCACCGGCUAACUCCGUGCCAGCAGCCGCGGUAAUAC
rnacentral:rRNA from 1 species